rnacentral:rRNA from 1 species
AUUGAACGCUGGCGGCAUGCUUUACACAUGCAAGUCGAACGGUAACAGGCCGCAAGGUGCUGACGAGUGGCGAACGGGUGAGUAAUGCAUCGGAACGUGCCCAGUCGUGGGGGAUAACGCAGCGAAAGCUGUGCUAAUACCGCAUACGAUCUAUGGAUGAAAGCGGGGGACCGUAAGGCCUCGCGCGAUUGGAGCGGCCGAUGUCAGAUUAGGUAGUUGGUGGGGUAAAGGCUCACCAAGCCAACGAUCUGUAGCUGGUCUGAGAGGACGACCAGCCACACUGGGACUGAGACACGGCCCAGACUCCUACGGGAGGCAGCAGUGGGGAAUUUUGGACAAUGGGCGCAAGCCUGAUCCAGCAAUGCCGCGUGCAGGAAGAAGGCCUUCGGGUUGUAAACUGCUUUUGUACGGAACGAAACGGUCUGGGUUAAUACCUCGGGCUAAUGACGGUACCGUAAGAAUAAGCACCGGCUAACUACGUGCCAGCCGCCGCCGUAACAC